rnacentral:tRNA from 1 species
GCGGGCGUGGUGAAAUUGGUAGACACGCCAGAUUUAGGUUCUGGUGGCCUGGCCAUGGGGGUUCGAGUCCCUUCGCCCGCACCA